rnacentral:rRNA from 1 species
ACAACGAAGAGUUUGAUCCUGGCUCAGGAUGAACGCUAGCGACAGGCUUAACACAUGCAAGUCGAGGGGCAGCGGGGGAGGAGCAAUCCUCCCGCCGGCGACCGGCGCACGGGUGAGUAACACGUAUGGAACCUGCCCGCAGCAGGGGGAUAAGCGGAAGAAAUUCCGUCUAAUACCGCGUAGCAUCCCCGGGAGGCAUCUCCCGGGGAUCAAAGGAGGCAACUCCGGCUGCGGAUGGCCAUGCGCCGCAUUAGCUAGUUGGCGGGGUAACGGCCCACCAAGGCGACGAUGCGUAGGGGUUCUGAGAGGAAGGUCCCCCACAC